AGCAGCGUGGCUCAGUGGAAAGAGCCCGGGCUUGGGAGUCAGAGGACCUGGGUUCGAAUCCCAGCUCUGCCA
rfam:Ornithorhynchus anatinus chromosome 1, whole genome shotgun sequence.